rnacentral:rRNA from 1 species
GGUAAUGGCUCACCAAGGCGACGAUCCGUAACUGGUCUGAGAGGAUGAUCAGUCACACUGGAACUGAGACACGGUCCAGACUCCUACGGGAGGCAGCAGUGGGGAAUAUUGGACAAUGGGCGAAAGCCUGAUCCAGCCAUGCCGCGUGUGUGAAGAAGGUCUUCGGAUUGUAAAGCACUUUAAGUUGGGAGGAAGGGUUGUAAAUUAAUACUUUGCUGUUUUGACGUUACCGACAGAAUAAGCACCGGCUAACUCUGUGCCAGCAGCCGCGGUAAUACAGAGGGUGCAAGCGUUAAUCGGAAUUACUGGGCGUAAAGCGCGCGUAGGUGGUUUGUUAAGUUGGAUGUGAAAGCCCCGGGCUCAACCUGGGAACUGCAUUCAAAACUGACAAGCUAGAGUAUGGUAGAGGGUGGUGGAAUUUCCUGUGUAG